UUUUUUUCUGUAAAUAUUUGAGGCAACGUACUUUAAAGAUGGCCUUUAAAUGGAUAAUGAAAUGAUAAACACUGGUUAGUAUGUUUAUGACAAAACUAAAGUAAAUUCAGUUGUCCUACUUGAAUAACUUAAUAAUUAUUGCUCAUAUAAACAUUAUAUUUCUGUAAAAGGCAGUUUCCAUUUGUUUACGUGACACAAAGACUCUCUUAAUUCCUUGGUGUGCACAGGUUGUAUAACAUAUAAAGAUCAUCAGUUCCUCCCAAAGUUUCUGAAAUUGCGGUAACUACAAUAUGUCAUGGUCCAAGGGACUGACGUGUGUGUUCUGCAUUGUGCAAGCAGUUAGUUUUCAGCAUCAGAAUCCUACAUGGGAGAGCAAUGGAGGGAUGUGUGCUAACAGGUAGAUCUCAUACUUCUACAAAGUAAAGAACUUGCAAUCAAAAUACACUCAUGGAAACAGAUCCAAUCAGAAACAACUCUGUGAUUUAAAGGCAAUAUUUGCUACACAGCAUGACUUUAACUCCCAUUAAAAGAAGAAAACAAUGAAAAAGGUAAGUUUCCAUAAGGUUUCUGUAGUAGUAUUCACCCAAGGCAGCAUCUUGACUCAUCCAGUUGUUUGUACCUGCAGGGAGGGAGCACCUACCUGUGUACACGUAAAUGAAAGUGAAGGUCUGACUAGCCUGGAAAGAAUGAAGAGCCUUUUGAAAGGCUCAUGGUUAUUUGGUUUUGAAGCCUGACGUUUUGACUAGGGGUGAACUUCCUUAUGAGAGCUUCGGUUCUCAAACAGAAUUAAUUCCUGCACUUCUGCUGAGGCGGCAAAGAAAAACUUCAUUGGGAAACAUGAGUACUUCUCUAAGUCACUUGGAACAGAAUUCAUAACAAAUGUCAUUCUUUGACUGUCCUGUGUUAAUGAGCACUCCAUAAAGUACACUGCUUGAUUGAUCGGGUUUCAGCGGUCUGUUUGUAAACGACUACUUCCUUCUGCUGGCAUUAAUGAAGAAUUGCACUUUCAACACACACCAGGUUUGUGUUCCCAGACCUGACUGGAAAUUUACCUUUUGGUGUUUGCACUGUGCUGAACCAGACUGGGGCUCUGCAUGCAGAAAUGUUUUCCCUCUCAUGUGCUGAACUCAGCUAGGAGGAUACCUGCAGUCUGGAGGUAAAAUCACAGAACAUGCUGGAAACAGCUUUUCUCUAUUUACUCAGGUAGAGGAAAUUAGGCACAAACCCAUCAAAAGUGCUCAAAAGUCACUCACUGAAUUAUAACCAGAACUUGGAUCUUGUUGCUACCCAAACUGAGACACAUACACCACUUUCUUUUAAAAACCUUCCCCUUCCAUCACACAAGAGUUACAGUUCCCCUGGAGCACUGCAUGAAAUAACACA